rnacentral:rRNA from 1 species
AACGAACGCUGGCGGCAUGCCUAACACAUGCAAGUCGAACGAGACCUUCGGGUCUAGUGGCGCACGGGUGCGUAACGCGUGGGAACCUGCCCUUAGGUUCGGAAUAACUCCCCGAAAGGGGUGCUAAUACCGGAUAAUGUCUUCGAACCAAAGAUUUAUCGCCUUUGGAUGGGCCCGCGUUGGAUUAGCUAGUUGGUAGGGUAAAAGCCUACCAAGGCGACGAUCCAUAGCUGGUCUGAGAGGAUGAUCAGCCACACUGGGACUGAGACACGGCCCAGACUCCUACGGGAGGCAGCAGUGGGGAAUAUUGGACAAUGGGCGAAAGCCUGAUCCAGCAAUGCCGCGUGAGUGAUGAAGGCCUUAGGGUUGUAAAGCUCUUUUACCCGGGAUGAUAAUGACAGUACCGGGAGAAUAAGCUCCGGCUAACUUCGUG